CUGCAGCAGCAGUCUGAAAGGGUCUGUGAGGUUUUGUUUUUGUUAAGAAGGCUUACAAUAAAAACAGCCAGCCCUGCUGGCAACUGCUUCCCUGGAUUCUGUGAGAGGGCUCAGACAGAAUUACCCCAGGGAGUGAGCUGGCUCAGCAA